rnacentral:rRNA from 1 species
AUUGAACGCUGGCGGCAGGCCUAACACAUGCAAGUCGAACGAGUGGCGGACGGGUGAGUAAUGUCUGGGAAACUGCCUGAUGGAGGGGGAUAACUACUGGAAACGGUAGCUAAUACCGCAUACCAUCGGAUGUGCCCAGAUGGGAUUAGCUAGGAGGGGGGGUAAAGGCUCACUUAGGAGACGAUCCCUAGCUGGGCGGAGAGGAUGACCAGCCAAACUGUAACUUGGACACGGUCCAUACUCCUACGGGAGGCAGCAGUGGGGAAUAUUGCACAAUGGGCGCAAGCCUGAUGCAGCCAUGCCGCGUGUAUGAAGAAGGCCUUCGGGUUGUAAAGUACUUUCAGCGGGGAGGCGUGACCCGCAGAAGAAGCACCGGCUAACUCCGUGCCAGCAGCCGCGGUAAUUC